AUUUCGUAGGGGUUUAUGCUGACUGGUGAGAAGUGCAUUUCCACCCCAAGAAUGAUUGUCUUUCCCCAUCCCUGCAUGCCACGGAAUUCAGAUGCUGUUACAAAUGCAAGUCGUGAAUCUAAGUAGGCAUCGGCUGAAUGCAUCAAUAAGAAAGCCUCAAGUCUACUGAUUGUGCUUUUAGAAUUCAGCCGAUGGUGCUAAAGGAGAAGAGGGAGAAGUGCGAACCGGUCGACAGCUUUGGAAUGCAUCUGACAUCAAUGAUGCUAAGCCGAUACACUCAAAGCAAUAAUCUGCACCUCCACCGGUCAUUUCCUUAAUCACCUGUUGAAGCAUGAAUUAAAAGAGAAUUAUAAGAUGUAGAUACUCUUGAGAUGGAGUGUUCCAAGGCAAGUUAGCCCUGAAAUGUUUAGAUCAAGAAAAAGAGUAGUGUUACAACCUCACUGAUAGAUCGCUCUCCGAUGUCCAUUGGGUUUACGAAAUCGGUGACCCCAAACGUCUUCCCUAAACCAUACACGAAACCAUGCAUUCAUAGUUCUUUCUUUUGAUAAACUACUCUAGAAAAUACCAAUAAAGCCAUAUCUAUACCAGUAAUAGACAGCUUGUGUAUGAUUCACAGUACACUUAUUUGAGCAGAAUGUGAUAUUCAUAAUCAAAACAAAUAAUCUUUUCUAUGA